rnacentral:misc_RNA from 1 species
GUUGAUGUGCAAAGGGGUAUGGCCAAGCAGCUCAUCCGUUGUUCUGUUGCAGACACCAAAUGGACACAAAUCCUUCAAAACCCAAGCUAGCUUUUCUAGCUACCCUCUUGCCAGCAAAGUUAUGGUUAGAAAUCUAUCAUACUCCACUGAUGAAAGUUGUCUGGAGAAAAUAUUUUCAAAUUUUGGUCAUGUUGCUGAAGUUAAGAUUGUGAAGGAUGAAGUGACUAAGAGAUCAAAGGGAUAUGCUUUUAUUCAGUACACUUCUCAAGAAAAUGCCAUGCUUGCUCUUGAUAGCAUGGAUCACAAGUACAUCAAUGGCAGGGUUAUAUUUGUGGAACUUGCAAAGCCUACAAAGAAAGACUUUGGCAGAUACCCGAGAAGUUGUGGACCACCUGUGGAGAGAUUACCAUCUGAAAAUGAAGUUCCAGACCUAAAAGAAAACUGCUAAGGUAAUGUUUACGCUAGUGUUAGAGUGGCAAUCAUUGAUAGGUGCAUGACAGUUCCACAAGUCAUCAUUCUUGAAACUACUGUGAUGCAGCUUUGGUUCGACUUGAUAAAACUUCUAUUGCGUAAAAUUUCACUCUUAGGUCACUCCUACAGGUUACAGGACUAGUUUACUUGUUCUGUCAUCGCAUUCUGUGUUUUGCAUGUAAACUUCACACACAUAUAUAUUGUGUUUGUUCUAUUAGGCAUGGCG